CUUGGCUAAAUUAUUCCAUCCCACCAGCAUCAGGAGAAGGGAACCAAACUAUCAGAGAGCUCCACAGGAAGCCCAGUGUGGGAGUAAGGAGGCAUUUCCCCACCAGCUCUGCAGUGAAGCGGAUCUCCCUGGAUGCUCUCCCCAUAGCAGCACAGCCUACGGCAGCCAGGACUGCAGGGUAGACGGAGAAUCAUUUGAAAGAAAACCUUCUUGGCUGCAGAUUGCACACAUAUUUUUGAACAUCUCAGAGUAAAAAGGAAGGGUUCAAGUUGCUUGUCACAUCGAAGCGGGUGGGAGCAAGAAGAACACAGAGAGGAGGAAGCGGAUUUGAUAGCUGGUAAUGAAUAUGUAGGAAAUCGGAUCAUAGUUUUGGAAUGAUAAUAUGGUCUCCUCUUUGCUUUCCAGCAAAAUUUAUAUAUAUGUGCCCACCUGCCUCCCCCACCACCGGGGUGUAAAGCUCUCCCUUGGAAGAAUGUCAAUAGUGACAACGAGGUCAAUCUAUGCAGCUGUGGUGUAAAUCUUUCCUGAAAUCAACUGCACGAAUGUGUUCGUCCUCCCUGGGGGCCUGCGACCGAAUAAUGCAGGCUGUGUGACUGUGUCCCUGACUGGCUCCCUGCCCUCCACCCCCUCUCGGUGCAAACCUGUCCGGCAAGCUGCUGUCGCUCACAUCCUCCAGGGGCUUAACCAGCAAUAAGCCACCUCCGCAGAGAAGGACAUGUGACAGCUUCGAGCUCCAUCAUGUGACAUGUGCUGGGCGUGAAGAGCAGUUCUCCUUGGCUUUCGAGACCCUCCCUAUUCGGUCACAAUCCUGCCUUCCAAAGCCCCCUUCCCUCCACCAGUGUACCUGAGCCACCCCGUCCCCUUCCAGCUUCCCAGACCCGCUGCAACCUCCUGCUGUAAGCUUCCCUGUGAUCUGAACCUCUUCUUCCCAGCCCUCUUCCCCAUCCUCCUCCAGUGCGUCCUCCUCACUGGUUACCUGAAGUAUCUGGCAGAUAGGUGUUUGAAAAUGUUCACUCACUGAAGGAGAGACGGCUUUAGCAGCCCAGUCUUUGAGUGUUUCAUUUAGCUGUUUGCUCAACACAGCAGGAUAGUUCUAGGCCAAGCCUAGCCACGGUUGUUUUCUCUACCUGGGAUGCCCUUACCUCUUCCCCACAAUCCACAUCCUAUUUACCCUUCCUACUGGGCUCAUUCUCCUCUCCAAGGUCACCCCUCUUGCCUAACCCAUCAGAUCCAGUGGGAGUUUUCCCUCUUUUUUUUUUUUAAGAUUUUAUUUAUUUAU